rnacentral:rRNA from 1 species
CAAAUUCCAUAGAACAAGACGUCCCAGAGGUUGAGAUUCCCGUACGUGGUCGGCUGGCUAUUGCCGAGUAAAGCCCCUUCGACGAGUUGAGUUGUUUGGGAAUGCAGCUUUAAAUGGGAGGUAAAUUUCUUCUAAAGCUAAAUAUUGGCCAGAGACCGAUAGCGCACAAGUAGAGUGAUCGAAAGAUGAAAAGCACUUUGGAAAGAGAGUCAAACAGCACGUGAAAUUGUUGAAAGGGAAGCGCUUGCAGCCAGACUUGCUUGCAGUUGCUCAUCCGGGCUUUUGCCCGGUGCACUCUUCUGCAGGCAGGCCAGCAUCAGUUUGGGCGGUGGGAUAAAGGUCUCUGUCACGUACCUUCCUUCGGGUUGGCCAUAUAGGGGAGACGUCAUACCACCAGCCUGGACUGAGGUCCGCGCAUCUGCUAGGAUGCUGGCGUAAUGGCUGUAAGCGGCCCGUCUUGAAACACGGACCAAGGAGUCUAACAUCUAUGCGAGUGUUUGGGUGUCAAGCCCGAGCGCGUAAUGAAAGUGAACGGAGGUGGGAACCCGCAAGGGUGCACCAUCGACCGAUCCUGAAGUUUACGGAAGGAUUUGAGUAAGAGCAUGGCUGUUGGGACCCGAAAGAUGGUGAACUAUGCUUGAAUAGGGUGAAGCCAGAGGAAACUCUGGUGGAGGCUCGCAGCGGUUCUGACGUGCAAAUCGAUCGUCAAAUUUGGGCAUAGGGGCGAAAGACUAAUCGAACUAUCUAGUAGCUGGUUCCUGCCGAAGUUUCCCUCAGGAUAGCAGUAACGUAUUCAGUUUUAUGAGGUAAAGCGAAUGAUUAGAGGCAUGGGGGUUGAAACAACCUUCACCUAUUCUCAAACUUUAAAUAUGUAAGAAGCCCUUUGUUACUUAAUUGAACGCGGGCAUUGAAUGAAACGUAUUGCCCU